CAGUAGCCGCGGGAAUACGUAGGUGGCAAGCGUUGUCCGGAAUUAUUGGGCGUAAAGCGCGCGCAGGUGGUUUAAUAAGUCUGAUGUGAAAGCCCACGGCUCAACCGUGGAGGGUCAUUGGAAACUGUUAAACUUGAGUGCAGGAGAGAAAAGUGGAAUUCCUAGUGUAGCGGUGAAAUGCGUAGAGAUUAGGAGGAACACCAGUGGCGAAGGCGGCUUUUUGGCCUGUAACUGACACUGAGGCGCGAAAGCGUGGGGAGCAAACAGGAUUAGAUACCCCUGUAGUCCCUGUCUCUUAUAA
rnacentral:rRNA from 1 species